rnacentral:lncRNA from 1 species
AUAAGAUCCCUCCAGCCAGGUGAACACCUUAUUUAACUAUAUGUAUUCACACUCAGAGACUCCUACAAACAUAUAUACAUAUUCACCAAAUGACUAAGAAAUGAUGCUAAAAAGACACACCAGCAAGCACAGAAAUUUCAGUUGCUCAACAAAACCCGACGAAAAGACAGGCCAAACUUCCAAUUUCAGUACUAAUUGAAGUGAUUCUAAAAAGACACGCCAUAACCCAUACCGAGCUUCCAAUUUCAAAACCGCCUCAGAAUCGAUGGAAAAACAUGAUGAAUUUUUUUCAAACUCCUCGAAAAAUAUACUUGUCCUGUAAUUAGUUCUCAUACAACUCAGUACACGUUACACGGUAUGGUUAACCUUGCAGCUUUCGAGGGGAGUGACAAAAAGCCAUGGUACAUCUUCAGCUCCACCCCCAGUCAUGGCAAGCUUGCUGUCAUCUAUGGAGUUGCACAUGGUCUCUUGAAACAUGGUGUGAAUAAAAAUCAGAAGGUGAGAACAGGUAUGAGCUGCAAAUAAUCUAUAAUUAGGUGCCCAUGUGUUCGAGCGGGGCCAUAAAUUUUCAGUGGUUCAACAUCAAUUGUGUCAAACAUAUACCUCAUAAUACUAUCCAAUUUAUUUUUCAAACAUCAUAGCUUUAAGGAGUUGCACACUAAGUAAUAAAAAUUGAAAUAAUAUUUAAUGAAUAAAAAUAUAUAGUUUUGAGAAUGUCCCUCAUUAUACAAGCAUUACUGAAAACCCGGAUCUUAUUAUCGGUUGGAAAUUCUUGUAAUACAGUCUUGACUGAAUGAAGUUAUCAUGGCUCUACUUUUGGUAGAUUACUGAUUCCUUCUACAACAUGGCAUGUGACUAUAUAGCUUGAUGGUUCAACAAAUGAUAUCGAGUAGGCUAAUUAAUGUAGAAACUACAUCAAAUUUGCUCAAGAGAACUGGACCCAAGUACACCAUAUAGGAAAUCAAAGGUAAACUCUAUAUGACCAGCAAUAACCAAUGGAAGAAUUUCCAUCUAAUUCAGCCACACACACCAAUUAGCAAAGACCUCAAAUAAAAGCAUGCUAGAAACCUACUUAUAACACAACUUAGCAAAGACCUCAAAUAAAAGCAUGCUAGAAACCUACUUAUAACACCACUUAGCAAAGACCUCAAAUAAAAGCAUGCUAGAAACCUACUUAAAAGUGUAAUGAAAUGCACAUGUACUGAAACUAUGUACCAAAUUUACAUGCACAUUUAUUCUCUAGACAUAUCAUUCUACUCCCUCUGUUUCUAAAUAUAACUCUUUUUAGAUAUUUCAACACAUGCUACAUAAGGAUGUAUAUAGACAUAUUUUAGAGAGUAGAUUCACUCAUUUUGCUCGGUAUGUAGUCCCUUAUUGGAAUCUCUAAAAAGACUUAUAUUUAGGAACGGAGGGAGUAGUUUCUACAAGAAAAGGGUAAGUUAGCCUAAGAAUAUUGCACCAUGACCAAAUCUUGUCGGAAUCAUUUUUAUUUCAAACUAUCAAGUUACUUUCCUCUUACAUUGAUGAACAAAAAUAUCACACGGAUGGCCCGCGGACACAGCGUAUCCGCACAGGCGACCCGCAUCACACCAAGCCCAACACAACAGGACACACCCUGCAAUGAACAGAGGAAUCUAAUGGAGAAUCAGCGAAUAUGAUACCCCAAGAUCUUACCUGACAUAUCAAAGGCCACCACGGAACCAGCAUCAUCCAAGCGAACAUGAAAGCCAUCAUCCUCAAUGCUCCUUUAUUUUGCAGGACAGGUUUUGACACAUCAUAAGGUGUCUCUGCAAAUAGAACAAGACCAAGAUCAACACAUCACACCACAUGCCUGCAAAAUUCGGAACAAGCAAAUAUAAUUCAAACAGAAAAGAACGAGGGCCAUCUUAUGCUAACUAUUCUGAAACAAGUCAUCAUUUGAAAACAGGUAAACUUCUUAUGGUGCAUCACGUCAUGUUGACUUCAAUCUGACAGUAAAUAGGAACAUAAAUAAAAAAAUCGUGAGGGCACAGGAGAGAUUGGGGGGGUCAUCGCCGACCCUGGCCAGAGCCGGGUAAGGUCCCGCUCUGCAUCCAGUAACGUCCAUGACGUCAUCUAGUAUUACACGAAAGCUAAAGAAAUGCAUAAGAAACAAUACUAAGUUCAGCAAAACGGAGCUAAAACACUAAAUUAGUAGGUCCUGCUUUACACAAAAGCGUAAAAAGGUGAUGCAACAUACAUAUUAAACUUGCAUGCAAAUAUGUGUAAUAAGAAAGAUUAGAUUUGUAACCAUCUAGAGUGGUUUGACAUUUUUUUAAUCACCUCUUUCCUUUUGUUUCUAGUUAGUCCUCAAAUCCAUUUAUACAACUUGUACCCAAAGCAUUUAUACAUCUUGUACUACAUAUUAGAAGGCUAGAUCUUCUACCAGUUCUAUAUGGAAUUUUGCAAGACAUGGAGCUCAGAACAGAUUGCAGCAAGAAUAGGAUAUGCAAUUAGGCAUUUAGAUAGUAGAGUUGUUAUUGAAUCAGCUGUGAUACUCACUACUCAGAACCUAACUAAGAACUACAGUAACUGAUCCUAGCUAGGCUAGCCUUUUCCUAUAAAUAUCUUAUUAUUAAAAACUAAAGCCUUCUCCAAUAAUUGCAGUAACUUGGUCAUCACAGCCACAUUCUUAAAUCAGAUACAUACUUUUAAGGUUGAUUUAACUAUGAUGAUGUAGUGGACACUCCGCACUUAACAACACAAGUUAAGCAUAGGAAAUUAAACAACCCGGUUACUUGACAUGCAGCGAGACAAAAGUAAAUUCACCAGUGAGCGAAGGAGAAACUUUGGACCAUAAAUAAGAAAGAACAAACAUAUACCAUAAUUCCAUGGGUUCAACUCAUCGUCACCUUCCUUCGGAGUUCAGACUCCUCAAGUGUGUCAUUGCUGAGGCAUGGGCAGGUUAGAUAAGACAUCAAAUGGAGGAUAUAUUGUAAAAGAAUGAGAAAAGAGUGCAUACUUUUCCUCUGUACAGAAUCAAUUGCAUAACUGAUGAAAAUACCGACGACAACUCCCUCUCCAUG